CUACGUGCCAGCAGCCGCGGUAAUACGGAAGGUUCGGGCGUUAUCCGGAUUUAUUGGGUUUAAAGGGAGCGUAGGCCGGAGAUUAAGUGUGUUGUGAAAUGUAGACGCUCAACGUCUGACUUGCAGCGCAUACUGGUUUCCUUGAGUACGCACAACGUUGGCGGAAUUCGUCGUGUAGCGGUGAAAUGCUUAGAUAUGACGAAGAACUCCGAUUGCGAAGGCAGCUGACGGGAGCGCAACCGACGCUUAAGCUCGAAGGUGCGGGUAUCAAACAGGAUUAGAUACCCUGGUAGUCCGCACAGUAAACGAUGGAUGCCCGCUGUUGGUACCUGGUAUCAGCGGCUAAGCGAAAGCAUUAAGCAUCCCACCUGGGGAGUACGCCGGCAACGGUGAAACUCAAAGGAAUUGACGGGGGCCCGCACAAGCGGAGGAACAUGUGGUUUAAUUCGAUGAUACGCGAGGAACCUUACCCGGGCUUGAA
rnacentral:rRNA from 1 species